GACGAACGCUGGCGGCGUGCCUAACACAUGCAAGUCGAACGGAGUUAACCGCUGAAAUGAAGGUAGCUUGCUACUGAAUUUUCUUGGUUAACUUAGUGGCGGACGGGUGAGUAACGCGUGAGCAACCUGCCUUACAGAGGGGGACAACAUUGGGAAACCGAUGCUAAUACCGCAUAACAUAUACUUGUGGCAUCGCAGGUAUAUCAAAGGAGCAAUCCGCUGUAAGAUGGGCUCGCGUCCGAUUAGAUAGUUGGUGAGGUAACGGCUCACCAAGUCGACGAUCGGUAGCCGGACUGAGAGGUUGAACGGCCACAUUGGGACUGAGACACGGCCCAGACUCCUACGGGAGGCAGCAGUGGGGGAUAUUGCACAAUGGGGGAAACCCUGAUGCAGCAACGCCGCGUGAGGGAAGAAGGUUUUCGGAUUGUAAACCUCUGUUAUUAGUGACGAAACAAAUGACGGUAGCUAAUGAGGAAGCCACGGCUAACUACGUGCCAG
rnacentral:rRNA from 1 species